GCCUAAUACAUGCAAGUCGGACGGGAUCCGUCGGAGAGCUUGCUCGAAGACGGUUAGAGCGGCGCACGGGUGCGUAACGCGUGAGCAACCUACCUCUAUCAGGGGGAUAGCCUCUCGAAAGAGAGAUUAACACCGCAUAACAUAUCUGCCGGCAUGGUGGCUAUUAAAUAUUUAUAGGAUAGAGAUGGGCUCGCGUGACAUUAGCUAGUUGGUAGGGUAACGGCUUACCAAGGCGACGAUGUCUAGGGGCUCUGAGAGGAGAAUCCCCCACACUGGUACUGAGACACGGACCAGACUCCUACGGGAGGCAUCAGUAAGGAAUAUUGGUCAAUGGGCGGAAGCCUGAACCAGCCGUGCCGCGUGCAGGAUGACUGCCCUAUGGGUUGUAAACUGCUUUUGUCCAGGAAUAAACCUUUCUACGUGUAGGAAGCUGAAUGUACUGGAAGAAUAAGGAUCGGCUAACUCCGUGCCAGCAGCCGCGGUAAUACGGAGGAUCCGAGCGUUAUCCGGAUUUAUUGGGUUUAAAGGGUGCGUAGGCUGCCUAUUAAGUCAGGGGUGAAAUACGGUGGCUCAACCAUCGCAGUGCCUUUGAUACUGAUGGGCUUGAAUCCAUUUGAAGUGGGCGGAAUAAGACAAGUAACGGUGAAAUGCAUAGAUUUGUCUUAGAACUCCGAUUGCGAACGCAGCUCACUAAGCUGGUAUUGACGCUGAUGCACGAAAGCGUGGGGAUCGAACAGGAUUAGAUACCCUGGUAGACCACGCCCUAAACGAUGAUAACUCGAUGUUGGCGAUAGACAGCCAGCGUCCAAGCGAAAGCGUUAAGUUAUCCACCUGGGGAGUACGCCCGCAAGGGUGAAACUCAAAGGAAUUGACGGGGGCCCGCACAAGCGGAGGAGCAUGUGGUUUAAUUCGAUGAUACGCGAGGAACCUUACCCGGGCUUGAAAGUUAGUGAAGAAUGCAGAGGCGCAUUCGUCCUUCGGGACACGAAACUAGGUGCUGCAUGGCUGUCGUCAGCUCGUCCCGUGAGGUGUUGGGUUAAGUCCCGCAACGAGCGCAACCCCUAUGUUUAGUUGCCAGCAUUUAAGAUGGGGACUCUUAACAGACUGCCUGUGCAAACAGAGAGGAAGGUGGGGACGACGUCAAGUCCUCAUGGCCCUUACGUCCGGGGCUACACACGUGCUACAAUGGAUGGUACAUCGGGCAGCUACAUAGCAAUAUGAUGCUAAUCUCUAAAAGCCAUUCACAGUUCGGAUUGGGGUCUGCAACUCGACCCCAUGAAGUUGGAUUCGCUAGUAAUCGCGUAUCAGCAAUGAGGCGGUGAAUACGUUCCCGGGCCUUGUACACACCGCCCGUCAAGCCAUGAAAGUUGGGGGUACCUAAAGC
rnacentral:rRNA from 1 species